ensembl:snoRNA small nucleolar RNA SNORA50
AAGCACUUCCUUUAAACCUAUGGAGUCUUCACUGUGACUUCAUAGGCAAGCUGUUGUGCGAAAGCAAAACCGGCUUGUUAUAACUGGGGCUUCUUGGUAUAAUUUCCCAAGCUGCUCUUUUAAAGCAAGCCACAGCG